CUUAAUGGGAUUGACCCUGUCAUGUGCGGAAUUGUCUUGUAUUCUAUCUGGUCUAUUUAAAUGGUGAACAUCAAGACCACAUGAUGCUAGUUCUGAAGCUGGCGCAGUCCCUUGAUACUCAAAAUUGUGGCAUGUAAAACAUAGCCGAGCUGAAUUCAAACCUUUUGGUGCAUAAAUAUCCCAAUAUAGCGGAGCCUUUGAAUAGCAUGAAAAACUUUUAGCUGAAAUAUAAUAUCAAGACAAAAAGAAUUAACAUUUGUAUUAUCAAACUAAAAUCUCCCAUACCACAAAAGCUGUCUGCCAAUCAUGGCAAUGGAUUAUAUCUGGUUUCUUGCCAGCUUGAAUAAGUAACUCAAGUGCUGCCCUACUGAAGAAUGAGAACCGCUUAAAAUCAUCAUGUUCACCAUAAAAUUGUCCUCUCCAGAAGAAAUUUCCUGGAUGAUGAGGCUCAAUAAAAUAGACAGGAAGACCU
rnacentral:lncRNA from 1 species